UACAGAGGUCCCAAGCGUUACUGAGAAUCACUGGGUUUAAAGGGUGCGUAGGUGGUCCGUUAAGUCCGUUGUGAAAUCCCUGGGCUCAACCCAGGAACUGCUUCGGAUACUGGCGGACUUGAGGCCAGUAGAGGUCACUGGAACUGACGGUGGAGCGGUGAAAUGCGUAGAUAUCGUCAGGAACGCCGGUGGUGAAGACGGGUGACUGGGCUGGUUCUGACACUGAGGCACGAAAGCGUGGGGAGCGAACGGG
rnacentral:rRNA from 1 species